GUCUAUAGCCUUGCUACCCUGAACGUGCCCAGUCUCCUCUGAUCUCAGUAGCUAAGCAGGGUUGGGCCUGGUUAGUACCUGGAUGGGAGACCACCUAGGAGUACCAGGUGCUGUAGGCA
rnacentral:rRNA from 1 species